rnacentral:rRNA from 1 species
CCCGAUUAGUGGCGGACGGGUGAGUAACGCGUAGGGAUUUAUCGUUGGGUGGGGGACGAACCCUGGGAAACUGGGGCUAAUACCGCAUGACGCCUGUGGGCCAAAGUCGCGAGGCGCCUGACGAGAAGCCUGCGUCCGAUUAGCUAGUUGGUGGGGUAAGGGCUUACCAAGGCAUCGAUCGGUAGCUGGUCUGAGAGGAUGAUCAGCCACACUGGGACUGAGACACGGCCCAG